rnacentral:rRNA from 1 species
GACGAACGCUGGCGGCGUGCUUAACACAUGCAAGUCGAACGGAAAGGCCCUGCUUUUGUGGGGUGCUCGAGUGGCGAACGGGUGAGUAACACGUGAGUAACCUGCCCUUGACUUUGGGAUAACUUCAGGAAACUGGGGCUAAUACCGGAUAGGAGCUCCUGCUGCAUGGUGGGGGUUGGAAAGUUUCGGCGGUUGGGGAUGGACUCGCGGCGUAUCAGCUUGUUGGUGGGGUAGUGGAUUACCAAGGCUUUGACGGGUAGCCGGCCUGAGAGGGUGACCGGCCAAACUAGGACGGAGCUACGGCCCAGACUCGUACGGGACGCAGGGGUGGGGAAUAUAAUACAGUGGGCGGAAGCCUGGUGCAGCAACGCAGCGUGGGGGAUGACGGGCUUCGGGUUGUAAACCGCUUUCGCCUGUGACGAGGCGUGAGUGACGGUACUGGGUAAAGAAGCACCGGCUAACUACGUG